rnacentral:lncRNA from 10 species
CAGGGGAAUAGAAUGCUGCACAAGAAUCCCUCUACAGCAGUGGCUUUCACCUUGGACACACAUAAGAAACCCUUGCCCAGCUCUACAAAUAUAUGCAGAAGUUGCAGCUCUGAGAUUCCGAGAAUUUCACUGAGAACUGAGGAACUGAGGGCUCCAAAAUGAACAAACUCCUGCAUUGGAGGAGACAAGAAUGCAACGGGAACAAUGUUAACAUAAUGUGUUGGGUGCUGAGAGAGUGGUACAUGGGGUGUUCAUACAUACAAGAGGAGCAUCCCCCAAAAUCUGAGGAGCUCCAAGCAGGCUUCCAGCAGGAAUAACACUUGGACUGAGUUUUAGAGCAUGGUUAGGAAUUCUGAAAAGAAAAAAAGAAAAAAAAAGAAGAAGAAGAAGGAAAGUGGGGAAAAUCGGCCGGGUGCAGUGGCUCACGCCUGUAAUCCUACCACUUUGGGAGGCCGAGACAGGUGGAUCACGACGUCAGGAAUUCAAGACCAGCCUGGCCACGACAGUGAAACUCCGUCUCUGCUAAAAAACUACA